UGCUUUUGCUGGGAACAGAUCAGGAAGGCAGCCUCAGAACUUCUGUUAAGUUAGAAGAAAAGAAGAUGUUCCUGAUAUGCUGUAUAUUGCAGAUGAUACUUAUUAUGAAUAAAGUCCAUAAAUAAAUUAUUUAAAUUGGAUGCAUGAAUAAUUCAAGUAGGAUGAAGAAUGGGACAACGGGCUACAGUUCUUCUGAAACAAAAAAAUACAAGAACAAGCAUCUGCCAAUGUUGUGCCACGAGGAGCUGACUGUUCAAAGUUGCAAGGAUAAAAGAAAACCAAUACUGGAAAUGGAAAAGGAGGAGAGCAACCAAUGAAGAAUAUUCAAAAUAAGCUACAGCUUGCAAAUAUAAAAUAAAGUGUUGUGGUUUGUUUUUGUUUUUUUUAAAAGCAAACUAAUCAAUGUAAGCUAGAGGAAUUAAAGGGAGUAAGAAGGGUAUUUGUUUCUUUCCAAAUAUCG